CGCAUAUAAAUGGUCGGAAUUCUAAAUUAUUUUAAAAAAAUACUAAACACUGAUGAUAUUAAACAAAUGGCACACCGCGCACUACAUCGUGGUUUUAAGUCUUUUACCUGGUAAUUUGUCAAGUGUUCUGCACACAAGCAACGACAAAGAUUGUAUGGUAUGUACGAUGUAAUCAUUGUUUUACUGUUUAUUUUAUAUACAGGUCUGGAAAAUUUAAUAGAUGAGAGUUGCAAAACUUACAAAUCUCGCUCAUAUUAAACCUCACGUAUGUUUUUCGUAUGAUAGCCAAGAUAAUUAUAACUAGGAGCUAGAGUAUAACCAUGCACAUGUCGAAGUACAACCAUUGUAUACAAUGCAGUGCUCGAUCUACAUGCAACAGUGCACAAAUUGCAGGAUGACCUUAUUAUAUACUCGUACUCAUUGAC